GAUGAACGCUGACAGAAUGCUUAACACAUGCAAGUCCACUUGAACUUCGGUUUGGGUGGCGGACGGGUGAGUAACGCGUAAAGAACUUGCCUCACAGAUAGGGACAACAUUUGGAAACGAACGCUAAUACCUGAUAUUAUGAUUAUAUGGCAUCGUAUAAUUAUGAAAGCUAUAUGCGCUGUGAGAGAGCUUUGCGUCCCAUUAGCUAGUUGGAGAGGUAACGGCUCACCAAGGCGAUGAUGGGUAGCCGGCCUGAGAGGGUGAUCGGCCACAAGGGGACUGAGACACGGCCCUUACUCCUACGGGAGGCAGCAGUGGGGAAUAUUGGACAAUGGACCAAGAGUCUGAUCCAGCAAUUCUGUGUGCACGAUGAAGUUUUUCGGAAUGUAAAGUGCUUUCAGUUGGGAAGAAAAAAAUGACGGUACCAACAGAAGAAGUGGCGGCUAAAUACGUG
rnacentral:rRNA from 1 species